rnacentral:rRNA from 1 species
AGCUCCAAUAGCGUAUAUUAAAGUUGUUGCAGUUAAAAAGCUCGUAGUUGAACCUUGGACAAAGUGCGCGUGGUCUACCGCAAGGUACGACUGCGGCGCUGCGUCUCUUUAGGGGGACUCGAUGCUUCGGUGUCGAGGUAACCCGUGUUACUGUGAAGAAAUUAGAGUGUUUAAAGCAGGCUAUCGCUUGAAUACAUCAGCAUGGAAUAACAAGUUGGACUUUGCUCCUACUUGUUGGUUUGAGGGGAAAAGUAAUGAUUAAUAGGGCCAGUUGGGGGCAUUAGUAUUCAGUAGUCAGAGGUGAAAUUCUUGGAUUUACUGAAGACUAACUAGUGCGAAAGCAUUUGCCAAGGAUGUUUUCA